rnacentral:rRNA from 1 species
UAGGGAAUCUUCCACAAUGGACGAAAGUCUGAUGGAGCAACGCCGUGUGAGUGAUGAAGGGUUUCGGCUCGUAAAACUCUGUUGUUGGAGAAGAACAGGUGAUAGAGUAACUGUUAUCAUCUUGACGGUAUCCAACCAGAAAGCCACGGCUAACUACGUGCCAGCAGCCGCGGUAAUACGUAGGUGGCAAGCGUUGUCCGGAUUUAUUGGGCGUAAAGCGAGCGCAGGCGGUUUUUUAGGUCUGAUGUGAAAGCCUUCGGCUUAACCGGAGAAGGGCAUCGGAAACCGGGAGACUUGAGUGCAGAAGAGGACAGUGGAACUCCAUGUGUAGCGGUGAAAUGCGUAGAUAUAUGGAAGAACACCAGUGGCGAAGGCGGCUGUCUGGUCUGUAACUGACGCUGAGGCUCGAAAGCAUGGGUAGCGAACAGGAUUAGAUACCCUGGUAGUCCAUGCCGUAAACGAUGAGUGCUAAGUGUUGGAGGGUUUCCGCCCUUCAGUGCUGCAGCUAACGCAUUAAGCACUCCGCCUGGGGGAGUACGACCGCAAGGUUGAAAC